rnacentral:rRNA from 1 species
UACGAAGGGGGGCUAGCGUUGCUCGGAAUCACUGGGCGUAAAGCGCACGUAGGCGGAUUGUUAAGUCAGGGGUGAAAUCCUGGAGCUCAACUCCAGAACUGCCUUUGAUACUGGCGAUCUUGAGUUCGGGAGAGGUGAGUGGAACUGCGAGUGUAGAGGUGAAAUUCGUAGAUAUUCGCAAGAACACCAGUGGCGAAGGCGGCUCACUGGCCCGAUACUGACGCUGAGGCACGAAAGCGUGGGGAGCGAACAGG